rnacentral:rRNA from 1 species
AUGGAAGGAAAAUCAUGCCGAGGCAAUCAUAUUUGUUUUGGUAGAUAUGCUCUUAAGCUUGAACCCGCUUGGAUCACGGCGAGACAGAUAGAAGCAGGACGAAGAGCAAUAACACAAUAUGCACGUCGUGGUGGAAAAAUAUGGGUACGUAUAUUUCCCGACAAACCGGUUACACUAAGACCCACGGAAACACGUAUGGGCUCGGGAAAGGGGUCCCCCAAAUAUUGGGUAUCCGUUGUUAAACCUGGUCAUAUACUUUAUGAAAUGGGAGUAUCUGAAACUGUAGCUAGAGCAGCUAUGGAGAUAGCUGCCAGUAAAAUGCCCAGACGAAGUCAAUUUAUUCGAUUAGAGAUAUAG